rnacentral:tRNA from 1 species
GGGUCGCUAGCUCAACUGGCAGAGCAUUCGGCUGAGUAGCGCGUCCGCUUUCCGCCUGUGCGGUCAUGGGAGCGCUUCCUUCUCCUGGUUGGACCGAAUGGUUCGGGGUUCGAGUCCCCGGCGACCCA